CGAGGUAGAGCAAAUCUCAAAAAAACAAUCUCAGUUCAGACUGCAGGCUGCAACUCGCCUGCACGAAGUCGGAAUUGCUAGUAAUCGUAGGUCAGCAUACUACGGUGAAUACGUUCCCGGGCCUUGUACACACCGCCCGUCAAACCAUGAGAGUUGGCAACACCCGAAGUCGGUAGUCUAACCGCAAGGAGGACGCCGCCGAAGGUGGGGUUGAUGAUUAGGGUUAAGUCGUAACAAGGUAAC
rnacentral:rRNA from 1 species